AUCCACGGCCAUAGAACCUGUAAAAUACUGCAUCCCGUCUGAUCUGCAAAGUCAAGUCAGGUAUCGCUCAGUCAGUACCAAGGUGGGGGACCACUUGGGAAUCCUGGGUGCCGUGGUUU
rnacentral:rRNA from 1 species